rnacentral:tRNA from 1 species
GGGCGAUUAGCUCAGUUGGUAGAGCAGCUGACUCUUAAUCAGCGGGUCCUGGGUUCGAGUCCCGGAUCGCCCA